rnacentral:rRNA from 1 species
AGUAAGGAAUAUUGGUCAAUGGACGCAAGUCUGAACCAGCCAUGCCGCGUGGAGGAUGAAGGUCCUCUGGAUUGUAAACUUCUUUUAUCUGGGAAGAAACCCAUGUUUUCUAACGUGGUUGACGGUACCAGAUGAAUAAGCACCGGCUAACUCCGUGCCAGCAGCCGCGGUAAUACGGAGGGUGCAAGCGUUAUCCGGAUUCACUGGGUUUAAAGGGUGCGUAGGUGGGCAGGUAAGUCAGUGGUGAAAUCUCUGGGCUUAACCCAGAAACUGCCGUUGAUACUAUCUGUCUUGAAUAUAGUGGAGGUGAGCGGAAUAUGUCAUGUAGCGGUGAAAUGCUUAGAUAUGACAUAGAACACCCAUUGCGAAGGCAGCUCGCUACACUAUUAUUGACGCUGAGGCACGAAAGCGUGGGGAUCAAA